GCCCUACGGGAGGCAGCAGUCGAGAAUCAUUCACAAUGGGGGAAACCCUGAUGCAGCGACGCCGCGUGAAGGAAGAAGUAUUUCGGUAUGUAAACUUCUAUCAGCAGGGAAGAAAAUGACGGUACCUGACUAAGAAGCCCCGGCUAACUACGUGCCAGCAGCCGCGGUAAUACGUAGGGGGCAAGCGUUAUCCGGAUUUACUGGGUGUAAAGGGAGCGUAGGCGGUUUAGCAAGUCAGAAGUGAAAGCCCGGGGCUCAACUCCGGGACUGCUUUUGAAACUGCUGAACUAGAUUGCAGGAGAGGG
rnacentral:rRNA from 1 species